CAACAUGGCUGCACUGAAGCGUGAGCCUCAGCCUCAGUGUUUGUAGGGAAUGAUCAUAUUUUAACCCUAGCAGGGUGCCACUGCACCUUGACUCCAAACUUGAGGUGUUCCAGAGGGUCCUUGAGCGCUGCCAUUCGAGAGGCUACCAUUUAGGUCCAUGGCUUUCUCCGUGCACAGGAAAGGGCACUCUGUGAGGUUCUACAAGGUGACUCUCUGCCUAGCUUUACCGGCACCAGGCAAUGGUUCUGACCUCACUCUCGGGCCUUUGGUGUGGGGAAAGAGCCUGCAGCCAGGACAGCUACUGCUUGAGGUCACUAAGAUGAGAAAAUGGAGGCCUGGAGAACUGAAGAGCCUGUCCAAGACCAGCUAAUGAUCAAGGCACAGAGAAUGCUCACAGCCACCGAGAUCUGCUUCCCACCGUACAGGAGGCUCUCCUCUUCCUGGCCACCCUGAAGGUCCAACUCCCUUCAGAAUGCUCUGGUGACAUUAAAACUCAGAUGUCCUUCG
ensembl:lincRNA 1700049E22Rik RIKEN cDNA 1700049E22 gene